rnacentral:rRNA from 1 species
GAUGAACGCUAGCUACAGGCUUAACACAUGCAAGUCGAGGGGCAGCAUGGUCUUAGCUUGCUAAGGCUGAUGGCGACCGGCGCACGGGUGAGUAACACGUAUCCAACCUGCCGUCUACUCUUGGCCAGCCUUCUGAAAGGAAGAUUAAUCCAGGAUGGGAUCAUGAGUUCACAUGUCCGCAUGAUUAAAGGUAUUUUCCGGUAGACGAUGGGGAUGCGUUCCAUUAGAUAGUAGGCGGGGUAACGGCCCACCUAGUCAACGAUGGAUAGGGGUUCUGAGAGGAAGGUCCCCCACAUUGGAACUGAGACACGGUCCAA